rnacentral:rRNA from 1 species
AGUAGCAAUACUUUGGUGGCGACCGGCGCACGGGUGAGUAACGCGUAUGCAACCCAUCUAUCAGAGGGGAAUAACCCGGCGAAAGUCGGACUAAUACCGCAUAAAACAGGGACACCGCAUGGUGAUAUUUGUUAAAGAAAUUCGCUGAUAGAUGGGCAUGCGUUCCAUUAGGUAGUUGGUGAGGUAACGGCUCACCAAGCCGACGAUGGAUAGGGGAACUGAGAGGUUGGUCCCCCACACUGGUACUGAGACACGGACCAGACUCCUACGGGAGGCAGCAGUGAGGAAUAUUGGUCAAUGGGCGAGAGCCUGAACCAGCCAAGUCGCGUGAAGGAAGAAGGAUCUAUGGUUCGUAAACUUCUUUUGCAGGGGAAUAAAGUGCAGGACGUGUCCUGUUUUGUAUGUACCCUGAGAAUAAGGAUCGGCUAACUCCGUGCCAGCAGCCGCGGUAAUACGGAGGAUCCGAGCGUUAUCCGGAUUUAUUGGGUUUAAAGGGUGCGUAGGUGGUUUGAUAAGUCAGCGGUGAAAGUUUGCAGCUCAACUGUAAAAAUGCCGUUGAAACUGUCGGACUUGAGUGUAAAUGAGGUAGGCGGAAUGCGUGGUGUAGCGGUGAAAUGCUUAGAUAUCACGAAGAACUCCGAUUG